AAAUUGAAGAGUUUGAUCAUGGCUCAGAUUGAACGCUGGCGGCAGGCCUAACACAUGCAAGUCGAACGGUAGCACAGAGAGCUUGCUCUCGGGUGACGAGUGGCGGACGGGUGAGUAAUGUCUGGGAAACUGCCCGAUGGAGGGGGAUAACUACUGGAAACGGUAGCUAAUACCGCAUAACGUCGCAAGACCAAAGUGGGGGACCUUCGGGCCUCACACCAUCGGAUGUGCCCAGAUGGGAUUAGCUAGUAGGUGGGGUAACGGCUCACCUAGGCGACGAUCCCUAGCUGGUCUGAGAGGAUGACCAGCCACACUGGAACUGAGACACGGUCCAGACUCCUACGGGAGGCAGCAGUGGGGAAUAUUGCACAAUGGGCGCAAGCCUGAUGCAGCCAUGCCGCGUGUAUGAAGAAGGCCUUCGGGUUGUAAAGUACUUUCAGCGAGGAGGAAGGCGUUGUGGUUAAUAACCACAGCGAUUGACGUUACUCGCAGAAGAAGCACCGGCUAACUCCGUGCCAGCAGCCGCGGUAAUACGGAGGGUGCAAGCGUUAAUCGGAAUUACUGGGCGUAAAGCGCACGCAGGCGGUUUGUUAAGUCAGAUGUGAAAUCCCCGGGCUCAACCUGGGAACUGCAUUUGAAACUGGCAAGCUUGAGU
rnacentral:rRNA from 2 species